AAUGAACCAGCAAUGCCGCGU
rnacentral:misc_RNA from 1 species